rnacentral:SRP_RNA from 1 species
GCUGGGUGUGGUGGUGCACACCUGUAAUCCCAGCUACUUGGGAGGCUGAGGCAGGAGAAUCGCUUGAACCUAGGAAGCGGAGGUUGCAGUGAGCCGAGAUUGUACCACUGCACUCCAGCCUGGGUGACAGAGUGAGACUCUGUCUCAA